rnacentral:rRNA from 1 species
AUGCAAGUCGAGCGGACAGAUGGGAGCUUGCUCCCUGAUGUUAGCGGCGGACGGGUGAGUAACACGUGGGUAACCUGCCUGUAAGACUGGGAUAACUCCGGGAAACCGGGGCUAAUACCGGAUGGUUGUCUGAACCGCAUGGUUCAGACAUAAAAGGUGGCUUCGGCUACCACUUACAGAUGGACCCGCGGCGCAUUAGCUAGUUGGUGAGGUAACGGCUCACCAAGGCGACGAUGCGUAGCCGACCUGAGAGGGUGAUCGGCCACACUGGGACUGAGACACGGCCCAGACUCCUACGGGAGGCAGCAGUAGGGAAUCUUCCGCAAUGGACGAAAGUCUGACGGAGCAACGCCGCGUGAGUGAUGAAGGUUUUCGGAUCGUAAAGCUCUGUUGUUAGGGAAGAACAAGUGCCGUUCAAAUAGGGCGGCACCUUGACGGUACCUAACCAGAAAGCCACGGCUAACUACGUGCCAGCAGCCGCGGUAAUACGUAGGUGGCAAGCGUUGUCCGGAAUUAUUGGGCGUAAAGGGCUCGCAGGCGGUUUCUUAAGUCUGAUGUGAAAGCCCCCGGCUCAACCGGGGAGGGUCAUUGGAAACUGGGGAACUUGAGUGCAGAAGAGGAGAGUGGAAUUCCACGUGUAGCGGUGAAAUGCGUAGAGAUGUGGAGGAACACCAGUGGCGAAGGCGACUCUCUGGUCUGUAACUGACGCUGAGGAGCGAAAGCGUGGGGAGCGAACAGGAUUAGAUACCCUGGUAGUCCACGCCGUAAACGAUGAGUGCUAAGUGUUAGGGGGUUUCCGCCCCUUAGUGCUGCAGCUAACGCAUUAAGCACUCCGCCUGGGGAGUACGGUCGCAAGACUGAAACUCAAAGGAAUUGACGGGGGCCCGCACAAGCGGUGGAGCAUGUGGUUUAAUUCGAAGCAACGCGAAGAACCUUACCAGGUCUUGACAUCCUCUGACAAUCCUAGAGAUAGGACGUCCCCUUCGGGGGCAGAGUGACAGGUGGUGCAUGGUUGUCGUCAGCUCGUGUCGUGAGAUGUUGGGUUAAGUCCCGCAACGAGCGCAACCCUUGAUCUUAGUUGCCAGCAUUCAGUUGGGCACUCUAAGGUGACUGCCGGUGACAAACCGGAGGAAGGUGGGGAUGACGUCAAAUCAUCAUGCCCCUUAUGACCUGGGCUACACACGUGCUACAAUGGACAGAACAAAGGGCAGCGAAACCGCGAGGUUAAGCCAAUCCCACAAAUCUGUUCUCAGUUCGGAUCGCAGUCUGCAACUCGACUGCGUGAAGCUGGAAUCGCUAGUAAUCGCGGAUCAGCAUGCC